AGUGAACGCUGGCGGUAGGCCUAACACAUGCAAGUCGAACGGCAGCACAGUAAGAGCUUGCUCUUACGGGUGGCGAGUGGCGGACGGGUGAGGAAUACAUCGGAAUCUACUUUUUCGUGGGGGAUAACGUAGGGAAACUUACGCUAAUACCGCAUACGACCUACGGGUGAAAGCAGGGGAUCUUCGGACCUUGCGCGAUUGAAUGAGCCGAUGUCGGAUUAGCUAGUUGGCGGGGUAAAGGCCCACCAACGCGACGAUCCGUAGCUGGUCUGAGAGGAUGAUCAGCCACACUGGAACUGAUACACGGUCCAGACUCCUACGGGAGGCAGCAGUGGGGAAUAUUGGACAAUGGGCGCAAGCCUGAUCCAGCCAUACCGCGUGGGUGAAGAAGGCCUUCGGGUUGUAAAGCCCUUUUGUUGGGAAAGAAAAGCAGCAGGUUAAUACCCCGCUGUUCUGACGGUACCCAAAGAAUAAGCACCGGCUAACUUCGUG
rnacentral:rRNA from 1 species